CUCAACCCGCGCAAGGAAGGAAUUGCGCAUGCGAUGUAGUCUCCCGGGACUCUAGAGCACAACCCUGGGUUACUCUGACUUUCAGGAUUGAGCAGACCUUUACAAGAUUGCUUCGUCAGAAAGUCAGUGUUCCCCAGGAACCAGAAGUGACCAAACCCUCUGGCAGCCAUCUGAAAGAAGAUUCUGUGUUAAUUCACUCAGCAGAUGUGUUCUGAGUGGUGCGUAUGCCAGGCACUGCCCUCGAAGUGGAAUACAGCAGUGGCAGAAGUGCGUCCGGCCUUGGACUUGGCCAUAUGACAUCUGAUUGUCUCCCCGCUGAAGUCUGCUGUCUUGAGUGCUCACACUAACUCACUGUUAACUGCAUACCUGGAAAUAGAGAUGACCCCUGUCACAGGCCUCUGUGCCAGAAGUCACUGUAGCUCUCCAGCUUCAUUAAUAACCCAAGGACUGUAUGUUCCACUUAAAUUUUAUUAUCCUUUACACAGAUCCAUAUUGGUAGAAGAGAAAAAACCAUGCUGGCAAUGCUGGAAGUGUAAAUUGGCAACAGCUUUCUGAAAGGCAGUUUGGCAGUAUCUGUGGGGAACUUUAGAGAGUUUGUGUCCCCUGAUCCUCUAAGUCCACUUCUGGGAAUCAGUCCUAAGGAAACAGUCUAAAAAUCGGGCAAAAUUUAUGCUUAAUAAUCUGAAAGUCUAACAGUGGAAAUUGGUUAAAUAAAUUACUGCCUGACUAUAAUAGGCUAGCAUGCUGUCAUGCUAAUGAAGAGUAUUCAGCAACGUAGUGGAAAUGCCUGUGAUGCUUUAAAAGAGGUGAAACAAUUAUAUGCAUAAAUCCAAAA